rfam:Microgenomates (Gottesmanbacteria) bacterium GW2011_GWB1_43_11 TV61_C0024, whole genome shotgun sequence.
GGAGGAGUCCGAUAGCUGGUCAAUUCGGGAGGUUUGCUAAACCUCUGAGCCGCAAGGCUCACGCGGGUUCAAAUCCCGCCUCCUCCG